UACUAGAGUAGCACUCGCAUAUCAAUAAGCGGAGGAAAAGAAACUAACAAGGAUUCCCCUAGUAACGGCGAGUGAAGCGGGAAGAGCUCAAAUUUGAAAUCUUAAAGGGUUUCCCUUUACGAAUUGUAGUUUAAAGAAGUGUUUUCUGUUGAGGUUUUGGUAAAAGUUCUUUGGAAUAGGACAUCAUAGAGGGUGAGAAUCCCGUAUUUGACCUUUACUUUCAACUUUGUGAUACACUUUCAAAGAGUCGGAUUGUUUGGGAAUGCAGUCCAAAAUGGGUGGUAAAUUUCAUCUAAAGCUAAAUAUUGGCGAGAGACCGAUAGCGAACAAGUACCGUGAGGGAAAGAUGAAAAGAACUUUGAAAAGAGAGUUAAACAGUACGUGAAAUUGUCAAAAGGGAAGCGUUUGACACCAGUGUUGUUUUUCUGAAAAUCAAUUAAAGAACUGUUUAUGCUAAGCUUGUUUAGACUUUAUCAGCUAAUCUGUUUAGUUUUAGGCUUUUCUUUAAUGCACUUUUCAGUUAACAAGUCAACAUCAAUUUCUUUUGCUGUAAAAAAGCUUGAGGAAGGUGGCUUGAGAUUCGUCUUAAGUGUUUAUAGCCUCUUGCCUAUGCAGUCGGAGAGAUUGAGGUCUGCAGCGUAGAUCCUUCGGGGCUAAAUGCAUUUGUGCUAAGUUAUAGCAUUUUAUAGACAACUUGUUGACUAUGAUUUGUCUUGUAGCUUACUCGCUUAUGUUAUUUUACCUACGCUUAGGAUGUUGAGCGCAUGUCUCUCUCU
rnacentral:rRNA from 1 species